rnacentral:rRNA from 1 species
UACAUGGGGUGCAAACGUUGCUCGGAAUUAUUGGGCGUAAAGCGCGCGCAGGCGGUCUUUUAAGUCUGAUGUGAAAGCCCACGGCUCAACCGUGGAAGGUCAUUGGAAACUGGGAGACUUGAGUACAGAAGAGGAAAGCGGAAUUCCACGUGUAGCGGUGAAAUGCGUAGAGAUGUGGAGGAACACCAGUGGCGAAGGCGGCUUUCUGGUCUGUAACUGACGCUGAGGCGCGAAAGCGUGGGGAGCAAACAGG